UACUAUUACUCUUAUUAUUAGUAUUCUUACAGUAAACCCAUGCCCCGUGCUACCUGCAAAAGGGAAAGAUACUGUUAAGGCUGCUUACCUCGGUGGAGUCGUUUGGAUAGCCUCUCUUUCCAGGUCCCCUCGCCCCCUCGGCGAUUCCUUUACAGUUCAAAUGACCCUCCGGGAGUGGAGCAUGAAAAAAAUUUAAAAAUCAAAAUCAAAUAAAAUUAAUUACGAGCAAGAAAGUGUCCUGCUCGAAUGAGGAAAGGCAGAUCUCAUCCCUCGCCGCGGCCUCCAGCGCUCCAGAGAUGUUUGUCGUGUUUGUUUGUGGAGUAUAAAUAAAAACUUAAGUUACUUACGAUGCAUCAGGGGAGAAAAAGCGUUUCCCCAUCAAAGUCCUCCUCCGCCCGUUUGUCCGGGGCAGCGGCUGCAGCGCACCGGCGGCUUCGGCCGGUCGGUUUUAGAGGAGGCAAGUGCCACUUUCCCUUCUUUUCUUCCUCCUCUUCCCCGACCGCGAUAAAUAACAAAAGGGAUUCGGCGACAGCACCGGCACCGUCUGGGAUUAUUCCCUCUCUCCCGCUCCCACAGCCUCUCCUUCCCUGUGGCAGCCCCGCUGCUCCCGGGCCGGGCCGGUGGCGGGGCCCGGGGCGCGGAGCCCGGAGCCCGGAGCCCGGAGCCCGGCGCGGCGCUGCCGGCUUUGUUCCGCCGCGGCCCGGCGCACAGGCACGCCUCGGGUCGGGGUAACAAUGCGUCGCUCCCUUCUUUCUUCUCUAUUUUUUUUUUUUUUUUUUUUUUUUUCCCCCCCCCCCCCCCCCCCCCCCCCCCCCCCCCCCCCCCCCCCCCCCCCCCCCCCCCCCCCCCCCCCCCCCCCCCCCCCCCCCCCCCCCCCCCCCCCCCCCCCCCCCCCCCUUUUUUUUUUUUUUUUUUUGGGGGGGGGUGGGGGAUUGUAACGUGAGGUUUUGUUAAUUCACCGGUCCGGCGGAGAGGGGCAGGAGCGGGAGAGACGCCGUCGGAAAAUGAAUGUUUGGUUUAGUUCUUCUUCUGGUCCUUCAAGAACUGGCGAGGGAAGAAAAAAAAAGGAUAAACGAAACCCCCAUCCGUCCCUGAGCUUCCUAACUCGUCCUGCAUCUUUCGAGUGAAAAAUACAGGAAAACACACAAACGCUGAAAAAGAAAAACAAAACGAAAUAAACGAAAAUCUCGGCGCGGGUUCGGAGAGGCUGAGAGAGAUAACGGCGGUGCAGGACAAGGUACGCUCACAUGCACAAAAAGAAAGUGCAGUUUCUCCUCCCACCCCUCCUGGAGUGGCAAAAAAGCCAAGGAGGGGUGCGGAAGGUGGCAGGGGCGAGACAGAUAGACGGAGUGGAGAUGCGUGUGGAUCCACUUCUGGUUCCAAAGGGUUUUGCCUAGAGAUGGUCGGAAGAGAUAAAGGCUCACAGAAAAGGGGGUGGCAUUUUUUCCCUCU
rnacentral:lncRNA from 12 species